rnacentral:rRNA from 1 species
AGAUUGAACGCUGGCGGCAUGCUUUACACAUGCAAGUCGAACGGUAACAGGCCGCAAGGUGCUGACGAGUGGCGAACGGGUGAGUAAUGUAUCGGAACGUGCCCAGUCGUGGGGGAUAACGCAGCGAAAGCUGCGCUAAUACCGCAUACGAUCUAUGGAUGAAAGCGGGGGACCGUAAGGCCUCGCGCGAUUGGAGCGGCCGAUAUCAGAUUUAGGUAGUUGGUGGGGUAAAGGCUCACCAAGCCAACGAUCUGUAGCUGGUCUGAGAGGACGACCAGCCACACUGGGACUGAGACACGGCCCAGACUCCUACGGGAGCAGCAGUGGGGAAUUUGGACAAGUGGGCGCAAGCCUGGAU